UAUUGGUGAUGUGGACAAUCUCUGAGAAAAGACUUUAAUCUCUCUCAAGCAUGAUAAAUAUCAUCAUCUGGCUUUUGUUUAAAGCUCGCGAUCUCACUCCUCAACCU
rfam:Capsicum annuum cultivar Zunla-1 chromosome 1, whole genome shotgun sequence